AGAGGGAAGAAUGAGAAGUGACUACUUCAUGGAUACAAGGUUUUCUCUGGGGAUGAUGAAAAUAUUUUGACAUCUGAUAAAGGUGGUGGUAGUACAGCAUUGCGAAUGUACUAAUUGCCACUGAAUUGUGCAUUUUAAAGUGAUUGAUUUUAUGUGGAGCAAAUUUCACUUUAAUUAUAAAAAGUGAAUAAACUUUUAGAAGCUAACCUUGGGAAAAGGUAGAGACUGGAAGGGAUCACAAGAAAGGCUUCUGAGAUGUUGGUUGAUUUCUCUAAGAAGUACAUGCUGAAAUGAAGUUAAGAGUACAAAAUAUUUAUUGGAGAGUAGUAACACAGAGGAGACACAGGAUUUGGCAGAAAUACUAAACCAUGGUGAAAACCUGCUAAAGUCUGUUUGUCCAAAGGGGAGCUCUAAAGUAAAUAUGAGCCAUUAAGGGAGCCCCACACUGGAUGGAAAUGGCCAAGCCCUUUUACAACCACCUUCUCCUUCAGACACUGCCUGCAAUUCACCCUGGGAAAGCAAAACCUCAACUGUUUCUGCCUCAUUCAGUCUUUGUCAGUGCCCUAAGAAGAUUGAGAUUUGAGCUUGUAACUGUUGAAGCAAAACCUAAAGCGGUUAAUAAUGGGAAUUUGUCACAACUAUCUUAACACAAAUAUAAAAUAUUUGCAUGAA
rnacentral:lncRNA from 1 species